GAUGAACGCUGGCGGCGUGCCUAAUACAUGCAAGUCGAGCGAACAGACGAGGAGCUUGCUCCUUUGACGUUAGCGGCGGACGUGUGAGUAACACGUGGGUAACCUACCUAUAAGACUGGGAUAACUUCGGGAAACCGGAGCUAAUACCGGAUAAUAUUUCGAACCGCAUGGUUCGAUAGUGAAAGAUGGCUUUGCUAUCACUUAUAGAUGGACCUGCGCCGUAUUAGCUAGUUGGUAAGGUAACGGCUUACCAAGGCAACGAUACGUAGCCGACCUGAGAGGGGGAUCGGCCACACUGGAACGGAGACACGGUCCAGACUCCUACGGGAGGCAGCAGUAGGGAAUCUGCCGCAAAGGGCGAAAGCCUGACGGAACAACGCCGCGUGAGUGAUGAAGGUCUUCGGAUCGUAAAACUCUGUUAUUAGGGAAGAACAAACGUGUAAGUAACUGUGCACGUCUUGACGGUACCUAAUCAGAAAGCCACGGCUAACUACGUG
rnacentral:rRNA from 1 species